rnacentral:rRNA from 1 species
CGACUGCUAAGACUGGAUAGGAGACAAGAAGGCAUCUUCUUGUUUUUAAAAGACCUAGCAAUAGGUAUGCUUAGGUAGGAGCUUGCGUCACAUUAGUUAGUUGGUGGGGUAAAGGCCUACCAAGACUAUGAUGUGUAGCCGGGCUGAGAGGUUGAACGGCCACAUUGGGACUGAGACGCGGCCCAAACUCCUACGGGAGGCAGCAGUAGGGAAUUUUCGGCAAUGGAGGAAACUCUGACCGAGCAACGCCGCGUGAACGAUGAAGUAUUUCGGUACGUAAAGUUCUUUUAUUAGGGAAGAAUAAAUGAUGGAAAAAUCAUUCUGACGGUACCUAAUGAAUAAGCCCCGGCUAACUAUGUGCCAGCAGCCGCGGUAAUACAUAGGGGGCAAGCGUUAUCCGGAAUUAUUGGGCGUAAAGGGUGCGUAGGCGGUUAAAUAAGUUUGUGGUCUAAGUGCAAUGCUCAACAUUGUGAUGCCAUAAAAACUGUUUAGCUAGAGUAAGAUAGAGGCAAGUGGAAUUCCAUGUGUAGUGGUAAAAUGCGUAAAUAUAUGGAGGAACACCAGUAGCGAAGGCGGCUUGCUGGGUCUUUACUGACGCUGAGGCACGAAAGCGUGGGGAGCAAACAGGAUUAGAUACCCUGGUAGUCCACGCCGUAAACGAUGAGUACUAAACGUUGGGUAAAACCAGUGUUGAAGUUAACACAUUAAGUACUCCGCCUGAGUAGUACGUACGCAAGUAUGAAACUUAAAGGAAUUGACGGGACUCCGCACAAGCGGUGGAUCAUGUUGUUUAAUUCGAAGGUACCCGAAAAACCUCACCAGGUCUUGACAUGCUUCUGCAAAGCUGUAGAAACACAGUGGAGGUUAUCAGUUGCACAGGUGGUGCAUGGUUGUCGUCAGCUCGUGUCGUGAGAUGUUGGGUUAAGUCCCGCAACGAGCGCAACCCUUAUUGUUAGUUACCAGCACGUAAUGGUGGGGACUUUAGCAAGACUGCCAGUGAUAAAUUGGAGGAAGGUGGGGACGACGUCAAAUCAUCAUGCCCCUUAUGACCUGGGCUACAAACGUGAUACAAUGGCUGUUACAAAGGGUAGCUGAAGCGCAAGUUUUUGGCGAAUCUCAAAAAAACAGUCUCAGUUCGGAUUGAAGUCUGCAACUCGACUUCAUGGAGUUGGAAUCGCUAGUAAUCGCGAAUCAGCAUGUCGCGGUGAAUACGUUCUCGGGGUUUGUACACACCGCCCG